UACAGAGGGUGCGAGCGUUGUCCGGAAUCACUGGGCGUAAAGGGCGCGUAGGUGGUGGCUUAAGCGUGCGGUGAAAGCUCGGGGCUCAACCCCGAGUCGGCCGUGCGAACUGGGCUCACUGGAGCAUAGUAGAGGCAGGUGGAAUUCCGAGUGUAGCGGUGGAAUGCGUAGAGAUUCGGAGGAACACCGGUGGCGAAGGCGGCCUGCUGGGCAGUGUCUGACGCUGAGGCGCGACAGCGUGGGGAGCAAACAGG
rnacentral:rRNA from 1 species